GUAGGUCACGGCUCAGUGGUAGAGUGUGUGCUUAGCAUGCACGAGGACCUGGGUUCAAUCCCCAGUACCUGCA
rnacentral:tRNA from 1 species